rnacentral:lncRNA from 1 species
GCGAGGAGCGCACUCCGUGGCCCCGAUGGAGCGGUACAAAGGAACCCGUUUCCCCAGUUUGCUGCUUAUGUGUUCAGAACCUGCUCCUGCAAGAUGACGACGCCCAGUGCUGAGAGGCUCGGAUCCCACUGUCACCAAGUGAGGGGCCGACCCCAGCGGAGAGCAGCCUGGGCACAGUCCUCUCUGGUGGGCUCCAUGCAGCUGUCCCUCCCCACCUGUCGGGCUGCCACCAGGGAAU